CUUUUUUGGAUUGUGGAGAUUGCUUCUGUUGUCCAAAAGAGUUGGGAGAUUGUUGAUCUUGGUGUUUUAUUUGUGGUGCAGGAUUGGAGAAAGCUGCAGAUGGGCUUUACUGGUACCAAUGCCAUCAGGGUUGAGGGGUUCAACAUAGAGCAGCGAUAGAAUUCAUGAGUGGAGGGAUAUCAGAAAGACACAAAAAUUCUGGAAAAAGCAAUAAGACAAGAAGACGAAGGGGCAAAGGAUAAAAAUAGAGUAAAAUAAGGAAGAAAAGGCAGAGGAGAUCAACGAAAACUUAACCUAGAUACACCAAAAGAUCAUCCAAGGAUGCAAACUAAAGCCAACUACCCUAAAUCACCAAAGAUAAGGGAGGAUAACAACAAGAAAACAAGGUAGGAAAAAAGGUUAAAAAAGAUUAGAAUUGAAUUGAGGUGAUGAUGUUAUAAAUAGUUUAAACGUUUUAACUGGGACAAUUUUUAUACAGGACAACUUGUCGUGUAAAUAAAGGUUAGCUUAGUCAAUGAUAAUUUAUCCCGUGUAUUUUAUUUUUUCUGAAAGUUUAGUCAAUGUUCGUUUCUCCUA